GUAGGAAUUUCCCCUAUAGUCCAUUUGCCUGAUAGUCCUCAUUAGAAAUCUCUACUUCUCUAGAGAUUUUUGUUUUAAUUAGAAAGAUUUGACUCUCCAAAUAUUCCACUGGCUAGCACCUAUAAGAUCCUAGGAGUAUUUGUCUUCAACAGAUUUGCAGCGCAGUAGGCUUGAUAGCAAAGAUGAAGGAGCAAAAAUACUCAAAGAAGUGUUUACAAACAUGCUUGAAGUGUGAGGGUUAGUAGUAGAGGUAGACAUAGGGACUGGAUCUGUGAUUUCAUUGGAAACUCUUACUCUUACACAUUGAUACCUCAGAGAGUUGACUAGAACUCUGAGAGGUCUGACUCACCCCAGGUCACAAUGAUAGCACAUAUCAGAGAAGAGACUAGAACCCAUGUCUUCCUGACUUUGAAGUCAGUUCUCUCUCUAUUAUGCCACAGUGCUAGGGAUAUCCCAUAUAAUUACUUCCUGUCAGGAUGAAAGUGAAAAAAUCAAAGAGCCUAAAUACAUGUUCCAUAGUCACUGGGGAGACUUUUGAUCUUCUUAAAUGUGAUCUUGUAGCAGUAUUUUUCAACUCACUCAGAAGUUUUGACUCCUCUCCGUGAAAAAAGGAAGCCACGCCAAUGAUAUGCACUGGGGCUCCGAUGGAAAUUUGUCAGUACAUUGGCAUUAAUAUGAAGUUUGCUCCUGAAGUACAAAGAACAAAUCACCAACUUCUUGGGGGAAAUAGCUACCUAGAGAGAGAUGGAAAAAUUGACUGCCAAUCCAAUGUACUGUAUGAAAGCAGUAAAAAGAAGAGGAAAGAAGAAACAGGGAGAAGGAGAAGAUGAGGAAGGGAAAGGAGAAAAAGAAGAAAAAGAAACAGGAUGAGGGAGGGGACAGGGAAGGAGAGACAGUGUUUCCAGUCAUAUUUCUUCAUUCGAUAAAUUAUCAAUUCAAAGAUUAUCAAUUAAUAAUCUCUCAGUGACAUGUUCUUUCAAUGAUUUUCAUGGAACCUAUUUUCUUUAAGGAGAAAUCAUCAGAGAGAGAAAGGCAACUAAGAAAUUGACUAAGUACACAUUGAGAGGAACUGACAAAGGGUAUCCAUGAAAUUCUCUUCCACCUUGGCUAGGUUUUUCAGAGUAAUAAGGCUUUCAUAUAAUUACUAUCUUAUUCCAAAACAAUGACACAUAUUUUCAGAAUUGCCAAAAUAUAGAUAAUACUCAUUUAAAAAUUU
rnacentral:lncRNA from 1 species